rnacentral:rRNA from 1 species
GGGCCGUCUCUCCCGGAACGUCAUAUCUCCCUAUAAUGAGUUGCUUCUUACGGCUUAGCGCUCAAGCGGGGGGCGGGACAUGCUUGCGCCCAUUGGCUAGAUCCAGCACUGCUCCCUUGUGCAGGUUCCCCACUGCUGCCUGACGUAGGAGCCCUCUGGAUAACGCGUGGCCGCUGAGCC